rnacentral:rRNA from 2 species
CUGGAGGUAUCAGAAGUGCGAAUGCUGACAUAAGUAACGAUAAAGCGGGUGAAAAGCCCGCUCGCCGGAAGACCAAGGGUUCCUGUCCAACGUUAAUCGGGGCAGGGUGAGUCGACCCCUAAGGCGAGGCCGAAAGGCGUAGUCGAUGGGAAACGGGUUAAUAUUCCCGUACUUGGUGUUACUGCGAAGGGGGGACGGAGAAGGCUAUGUUGGCCGGGCGACGGUUGUCCCGGUUUAAGCGUGUAGGUGUGUGUUCCAGGUAAAUCCGGUUCACUUUAACACUGAGGCGUGAUGACGAGGCACUACGGUGCUGAAGCAACAAAUGCCCUGCUUCCAGGAAAAGCCUCUAAGCAUCAGGUAACAUCAAAUCGUACCCCAAACCGACACAGGUGGUCAGGUAGAGAAUACCAAGGCGCUUGAGAGAACUCGGGUGAAGGAACUAGGCAAAAUGGUGCCGUAACUUCGGGAGAAGGCACGCUGACACGUAGGUGAAGUGAUUUACUCAUGGAGCUGAAGUCAGUCGAAGAUACCAGCUGGCUGCAACUGUUUAUUAAAAACACAGCACUGUGCAAACACGAAAGUGGACGUAUACGGUGUGACGCCUGCCCGGUGCCGGAAGGUUAAUUGAUGGGGUCAGCGCAAGCGAAGCUCCUGAUCGAAGCCCCGGUAAACGGCGGCCGUAACUAUAACGGUCCUAAGGUAGCGAAAUUCCUUGUCGGGUAAGUUCCGACCUGCACGAAUGGCGUAAUGAUGGCCAGGCUGUCUCCACCCGAGACUCAGUGAAAUUGAACUCGCUGUGAAGAUGCAGUGUACCCGCGGCAAGACGGAAAGACCCCGUGAACCUUUACUAUAGCUUGACACUGAACAUUGAGCCUUGAUGUGUAGGAUAGGUGGGAGGCUUUGAAGUGUGGACGCCAGUCUGCAUGGAGCCGACCUUGAAAUACCACCCUUUAAUGUUUGAUGUUCUAACGUGGACCCGUGAUCCGGGUUGCGGACAGUGUCUGGUGGGUAGUUUGACUGGGGCGGUCUCCUCCUAAAGAGUAACGGAGGAGCACGAAGGUUGGCUAAUCCUGGUCGGACAUCAGGAGGUUAGUGCAAUGGCAUAAGCCAGCUUGACUGCGAGCGUGACGGCGCGAGCAGGUGCGAAAGCAGGUCAUAGUGAUCCGGUGGUUCUGAAUGGAAGGGCCAUCGCUCAACGGAUAAAAGGUACUCCGGGGAUAACAGGCUGAUACCGCCCAAGAGUUCAUAUCGACGGCGGUGUUUGGCACCUCGAUGUCGGCUCAUCACAUCCUGGGGCUGAAGUAGGUCCCAAGGGUAUGGCUGUUCGCCAUUUAAAGUGGUACGCGAGCUGGGUUUAGAACGUCGUGAGACAGUUCGGUCCCUAUCUGCCGUGGGCGCUGGAGAACUGAGGGGGGCUGCUCCUAGUACGAGAGGACCGGAGUGGACGCAUCACUGGUGUUCGGGUUGUCAUGCCAAUGGCACUGCCCGGUAGCUAAAUGCGGAAGAGAUAAGUGCUGAAAGCAUCUAAGCACGAAACUUGCCCCGAGAUGAGUUCUCCCUGAGACUUUAGGUCUCCUGAAGGAACGUUGAAGACGACGACGUUGAUAGGCCGGGUGUGUAAGCGCAGCGAUGCGUUGAGCUAACCGGUACUAAUGAACCGUGAGGCUUAACCUUACA